GACGAACGCUGGCGGCGUGCUUAACACAUGCAAGUCGAACGGAAAGGCCCUUCGGGGUACUCGAGUGGCGAACGGGUGAGUAACACGUGGGUGAUCUGCCCUGCACUCUGGGAUAAGCCUGGGAAACUGGGUCUAAUACCGGAUAUGAUCAUGCGCCUCAUGGUGUGUGGUGGAAAGCUUUUGCGGUGUGGGAUGGGCCCGCGGCCUAUCAGCUUGUUGGUGGGGUAAUGGCCUACCAAGGCGACGACGGGUAGCCGGCCUGAGAGGGUGACCGGCCACACUGGGACUGAGAUACGGCCCAGACUCCUACGGGAGGCAGCAGUGGGGAAUAUUGCACAAUGGGCGCAAGCCUGAUGCAGCGACGCCGCGUGGGGGAUGACGGCCUCGGUUGUAACGU
rnacentral:rRNA from 1 species